GGCGGGAUGCCGGAGCGGACGAACGGGCCGCACUCGAAAUGCGGUAUACCCGAAAGGGUAUCGGGGGUUCGAAUCCCUCUCCCGCCGCCA
rnacentral:tRNA from 1 species